UGGCUUGGGAGUGGAACACCCCUAUUCAUAUUCCAUUUACAGGAGCUAAUCUCAUGGUGGGAACUGCAGUGGCUGAGCAGCAGCAUCUUAGCAGAUACUGUGCUUUAUGAAAGGUGGGUGGGGGUGUAGAUAUUUACUAGACAUCCACCUGUGUCUGCUGCAAUCCUGAAUAGCUGGACAUUUGUCUCAGAUUCCUAAAGAAUGGGCAGCAAGAAGAGAAAGGAGCUAAUUAACAAUGAGGAAAGUGUAUGAACAAUGGAGCAAGCAUGUGACAGAAGACAUUGGCAUGGCUGGGUGACAGGGAGGACCAAGGGAGGGAAGGCAAAAUUGCUCAAAAAAAUGUAGCUAAAUUAG
rnacentral:lncRNA from 1 species